rnacentral:rRNA from 1 species
GACGAACGCUGGCGGCGUGCCUAAUACAUGCAAGUAGAACGCUGAAGGAGGAGCUUGCUCUUCUGGAUGAGUUGCGAACGGGUGAGUAACGCGUAGGUAACCUGCCUGGUAGCGGGGGAUAACUAUUGGAAACGAUAGCUAAUACCGCAUAAGAGUAGAUGUUGCAUGACAUUUGCUUAAAAGGUGCAAUUGCAUCACUACCAGAUGGACCUGCGUUGUAUUAGCUAGUUGGUGAGGUAACGGCUCACCAAGGCGACGAUACAUAGCCGACCUGAGAGGGUGAUCGGCCACACUGGGACUGAGACACGGCCCAGACUCCUACGGGAGGCAGCAGUAGGGAAUCUUCGGCAAUGGACGGAAGUCUGACCGAGCAACGCCGCGUGAGUGAAGAAGGUUUUCGGAU